AUACACAAACUCUGCAUCUUUGCGUCGGGUUUGAAAUAUCAAUUUGAUUAAAACUUUCAACAACGGAUCUCUUGGUUCUGGCAUCGAUGAAGAACGCAGCGAAAUGCGAUAAGUAAUGUGAAUUGCAGAAUUCAGUGAAUCAUCGAAUCUUUGAACGCACACUGCGCCCUUUGGCAUUCCGAAGGGCAUGCCCGUUCGAGCGUCAUUACACCAAUCAAGCCUGGCUUGGUAUUGGGCCCCGGGGGCGACCCGGGCCUCAAAGUCUGUCGGCUGGAAAGCUCUGAUCUCAGCGUCGUGGUUAAAAACAUUCGCCGACGAGAGGAGCGGUCUGCGCCGUGAAAUUUUCUACAGGUUGACCUCGGAUCGGGUAGGAAUACCCGCUGAACUUA
rnacentral:rRNA from 1 species